rnacentral:tRNA from 2 species
UUUUUUUUGGCGACAUGGCCGAGCGGUAAGGCGGAGGACUGCAAAUCCUUUUUUCCCCGGUUCAAAUCUGGG